rnacentral:tRNA from 1 species
GAUUGAUAAGUUAAAAAAACUGUGGGGUUCAUGUCUCCUUAAUACAUAUUUAUAUGUUCAAUCG